UACGUAGGGGGGCAAGCGUUGUCCGGAAUCAUUGGGCGUAAAGAGCGUGUAGGCGGCUCGAUAAGUCUGCUGUGAAAGUCCAGGGCUCAACCCUGGAAGGCCGGUGGAAACUGUCGGGCUAGAGUCCGGAAGAGGCGAGUGGAAUUCCCGGUGUAGCGGUGAAAUGCGCAGAUAUCGGGAGGAACACCAAUGGCGAAGGCAGCUCGCUGGGACGGUACUGACGCUGAGGUAGCGAAAGCGUGGGGAGCAAACAGGAUUAGA
rnacentral:rRNA from 1 species